GACGAACGCUGGCGGCGUGCUUAACACAUGCAAGUCGAGCGGAGCGGCGAACGGGUGCGUCACGCGUGAGUAACUGCCCCCCUCUCUGGGAUCACAGUUGGACACGGCUGCUAAUACCGGAUAGUGGGGGAUGACUCGCGUCCUAUCAGCUUCUUGGUGGGGUAUUGGCCUACCAAGGCGCCGACGGGUAGCCGGCCUGGGAGGGCGACCGGCCACAUUGGGUCGGGAUACGGUCCAAACUCCGACGGGAGGCAGCAGUGGGGAAUAUGGCACAAUGGCGGAACCCCUGAUGCAGCAACGCCGGGGGCGGGAUGACGGCCUUCGGGUUGUAAACCGCUUUCGGCCAUGACGCGGUAGUGGCAGAAGAAGCACCGGCUAACUACGUGCCAGCAGCCGCGGUAAUUC
rnacentral:rRNA from 1 species